rnacentral:rRNA from 1 species
UACGUAGGGUGCAAGCGUUAAUCGGAAUUACUGGGCGUAAAGCGUGCGCAGGCGGUUUGGAAAGAAAGAUGUGAAAUCCCAGAGCUUAACUUUGGAACUGCAUUUUUAACUGCCAAGCUAGAGUAUGUCAGAGGGGGGUAGAAUUCCACGUGUAGCAGUGAAAUGCGUAGAGAUGUGGAGGAAUACCGAUGGCGAAGGCAGCCCCCUGGGAUAAUACUGACGCUCAUGCACGAAAGCGUGGGGAGCAAACAGG